AGUUUUUAACUCAAGUGGCGGACGGGUGAGUAACACGUAAGAACUUGCCUUUAGGAGGGGGAUAACAACUGGAAACGGUUGCUAAUACCCCAUAUGCUUUCGAGUGAAAUGGAUUUUUCCGCCUAGAGAGAAGCUUGCGGCUGAUUAGCUUGUUGGUAAGGUAAUGGCUUACCAAGGCGACGAUCAGUAUCUGGUUUGAGAGGAUGAUCAGACACACUGGAACUGAGACACGGUCCAG
rnacentral:rRNA from 1 species